rnacentral:rRNA from 1 species
UACGUAGGGUGCAAGCGUUAAUCGGAAUUACUGGGCGUAAAGAGCUCGUAGGCGGCUUGUCGCGUCGAAUGUGAAAACUCGGGGCUCAACUCCGAGCUUGCAUUCGAUACGGGCAGGCUAGAGUUCGGUAGGGGAGACUGGAAUUCCUGGUGUAGCGGCGAAAUGCGCAGAUAUCAGGAGGAACACCGGUGGCGAAGGCGGGUCUCUGGGCCGAUACUGACGCUGAGGAGCGAAAGCGUGGGGAGCGAACAGG